UAUUAAAAUUUCAUCUAUUUUUUAUUAUUAAAACCCGACAUGGCUAAUAAAAUAAUCAAAUAGUUUCACAUGGCCUGUUAUGUAUUUCUCAUUUUGAUGUAUAACGACUAGUUUUUAACAAUAGAAAUUGAUGGAUUUUUUUAAUA
rfam:Gossypium arboreum cultivar AKA8401 contig_906_5, whole genome shotgun sequence.